AUGGUUCUCUAUAUGCUUUCUUUCUUCCAACUCCCAAAAGGGGUCCUCCAAAGAUUGGACUAUUUUAGGUCCAGAUUCUUUUGGCAGGGAGACGGUGAAAAGAAAAAAUAUAGGCUGGCAAAAUGGAGCGUGGUUUGUAGGCCAAAAGACCAAGGUGGCCUUGGAAUUCUUGACCUGCAGGUCAAGAAUGAGGCUCUACUUAGUAAAUGGUUGUUCAAACUUCUUACUGAGGAUGGUGUUUGGCAAACCAUAUUGCGCAACAAGUACCUAGGCCAAAAGGCGGUGUCUCAGGCUUAUUGGAAACCUGGUGACUCACACUUUUGGGCUGGCCUAAUGGUGGCAAAGAAACAUCUUUUUCGCUUUGGGUCUUCCGCGAUAAAGGAUGGGUCAGAGGUUCGUUUCUGGGAAGACAUAUGGCUAGGCAAUGCCAGUCUCUGA
rnacentral:rRNA from 1 species